AACGAACGCUGGCGGCAGGCUUAACACAUGCAAGUCGAGCGCCCAGCAAGGGGAGCGGCAGACGGGUGAGUAACACGUGGGAACCUUCCUAGAGGUACGGAACAACUCAGGGAAACUUGAGCUAAUACCGUAUACGCUAUUGCGAGGAAAGAUUUAUCGCCCAUAGACGGGCCCGCGGCGGAUUAGCUAGUUGGUGGGGUGACGGCCUACCAAGGCGACGAUCCGUAGCUGAUCUGAGAGGAUGAUCAGCCACAAUGGGACUGAGACAAGGCCCAGACUCCUACCGGAGGCAGCAGUGAGGAAUCUUGGACAAUGGACGCAAGCCAGAUCCAGCCAUGCCGCGUGAGUGAAAAAGGCCUUCGGGUUGUAAAGCUCUUUUGCCAGGGACGAUAAUGACGGUACCUGUAGAAUAAGCCCCGGCAAACUUCGUGCCAGCCGCCGCCGUAA
rnacentral:rRNA from 1 species